rnacentral:rRNA from 1 species
GAAGUCGGAAUUGCUAGUAAUGGCAGGUCAGCAUACUGCCGUGAAUACGUUCCCGGGCCUUGUACACACCGCCCGUCACACCAUGAGAGUUGGAGAUACCCGAAGCCUAUGAGCUAACGUAAGAGGCAGCAGUCGAAGGUAGAAUCAAUGAUUGGGGUGAAGUCGUAACAAGGUAUC